rnacentral:rRNA from 1 species
AACGGCCGUACCAUGCUGAAUAUACCGGUUCUCGUUAGAUCACCGAAGUUAAGCAUCAUUGGGCGCGGUCAGUACUUGGGUGGGUGACCACCUGGGAACACAGCGU